rnacentral:rRNA from 1 species
UACGUAGGGAGCAAGCGUUGUCCGGAAUCAUUGGGCGUAAAGCGCGCGUAGGUGGCCUCAUAAGUCCGCUGUGAAAGUCAAAGGCUCAACCUUUGAAAGCCGGUGGAUACUGUGAGGCUAGAGUACGGAAGAGGCGAGUGGAAUUCCUGGUGUAGCGGUGGAAUGCGCAGAUAUCAGGAGGAACACCGGUGGCGAAGGCGGGUCUCUGGGCAACUACUGACGCUGAGGAGCGAAAGCGUGGGGAGCGAACAGG